rnacentral:rRNA from 1 species
AACGAACGCUGGCGGCAUGCCUAACACAUGCAAGUCGAACGAGACCUUCGGGUCUAGUGGCGCACGGGUGCGUAACGCGUGGGAACCUGCCCUUAGGUUCGGAAUAACUCCCCGAAAGGGGUGCUAAUACCGGAUAAUGUCUUCGGACCAAAGAUUUAUCGCCUUUGGAUGGGCCCGCGUUGGAUUAGCUAGUUGGUAGGGUAAAAGCCUACCAAGGCGACGAUCCAUAGCUGGUCUGAGAGGAUGAUCAGCCACACUGGGACUGAGACACGGCCCAGACUCCUACGGGAGGCAGCAGUGGGGAAUAUUGGACGAUGGGGGAAAGCCUGAUCCAGCAAUGCCGCGUGAGUGAUGAAGGCCUUAGGGUUGUAAAGCUCUUUUACCCGGGAUGAUAAUGACAGUACCGGGAGAAUAAGCUCCGGCUAACUCCGUG